rnacentral:rRNA from 1 species
UACGUAGGUGACCAGCGUUGUCCGGAUUUACUGGGCGUAAAGAGCGUGCAGGCGGUCGUUCAAGUCGAGUGUGAAAGCCCCCGGCUCAACUGGGGAGGGUCACUCGAUACUGAUCGACUUGAAGGCAGGAGAGGGAAGCGGAAUUCCCGGUGUAGUGGUGAAAUGCGUAGGAUACUCGAGAGGAACACCUGCGGCGAAGGCGGGUUGCUGGGCUGACACUGACGCUGAAGUGCGAAAGCUAGGGGAGCGAACGGG